GUUAGGUCAGCAAUGAGGAAGUCAUGGGCGGCUACUGGGAAGGUCAGAGGCCUGUCCUGACCGUGCUCCACAAGAAGCUGGAUCAAAACAGACAGGCCCAAGCCUGGCGGAUGCCAUGACAGGAAACCUCUGACUAAAAUUUGGUGCAGCAUAGGGAUUCAAAGUGAACUCUUGGUGGCUUUCAGGGACAGUGAAAAACAAGCAUGGUGUCCUUUGAGCUCAGGGUCUUGCCGUUUCAGAGGACUAUGGCCUUGGAGAGUUCUUUUAGAAAAGUAUCUCAUGUGGUGAACAAUUUGAUUGAACAUUCAACAAUUCCUUCAUACUUGUUUUGUAUCUCUUUUCUUCAGUUAAGUUCAUGCCC